rnacentral:lncRNA from 1 species
GCAGCGGAAGAAGCUUAAAACCUAGGUUUUGGAGUUUGAUCGGUGGAAAAGGUUAGGGUUCGAGGUAACAGAGGUUUUAAUCGGUGGAAGUUUGAAAGAAAUGGAGGAGUAGCUGUUUGAACGGUGAAACAAGAGGUUUCACCGAUUGAAUCGAUGGAAGGAAAGGAUUCUCGGUUUUUUGAACGGUAAAGUGAAAGAGAGUCCGGUGAGGGAAGAUCUCGUGAUGAAAUGGUGAAAGGCUGGCGAUCUGGAACAGAAAAUGGAGCUUACCAUGGUGGUCGGCGGUUGGCUAUGAGGAGCUCGAGAGAGAAGGCUCUCGAUAAGAAACCCUAGGUUUGUGAUGAAAUGUGAGAUUGAUUUGGUUUGUGGUGUAAGAUCACGAAGAUUUAGCGUGAAAGGUAAGUGUAGGCGUGGCAGUUGAUCUGGUAAGCCACGAGGACGCUCUGGAUUGGUGGAAGAGGUAUGCGGUGGCUGAAAUAGAAAUCUGAAGUGGAAAAUGUAUGAAGUGCAAUGUGAUAGGAAGGUGGCUGAGAGAAUCCCUUGGAUUCUUCAGCCUUGACUUUCAAGGAAUUAAUUCUGGAGUAUUCUCAACAGGAAAUUAAUUCAUUAUCUCAAAAGUAAGUACAAGAAGUGUAGGCAUGGCUAUUUAUAGAACUAGAAGUCCCACAUGCCUAACACAAUACAAAGUACAUAAAAGAAAGAAUACACUAAAGACAUUGGGUUUGGGCCCCGCGUAUCAUCCCCUCCCUCUUGGAAAGGAUUUGUCCUCAAAUUUGAUGGUUCGCCUGAGGACUUAUUUUUGUAAACUCCAUAGAAGUUCUUCCUGGAUCAAAUAUUAAUCUACAAUAAGCAUCAAACAUAUCUCUAAUUAGUUUUAUUUGACCCAAUAAGAUGUAUAAAGAAAUAUGUCUAGAAGAAGGUUUCCUAGUUUAAAAUUUUCAAGUUUAUGACUAAAACGAAACCUUACUUCAUUUGAAAAUUUAUUUUUGUCUUGAGUUAAUGAUAACUUGAAAGAUAUCUCUAACUCAAGUCUUUGAUUGCCAUGUGUUAAAGAUUGAAACUUUUGAAAAGGUUUAAUGGCAAUUCCUUGGGAAGAAAAGAUAGAAUUAGAACAUUCAAUAACAAAUGGUAAGUGAAAAGAUAGAAAACCUCCCCUUAAAAGUUUGAAUUCUUUUGUAAUAGUAGGAGAUGUUGCCAUCAAUCUCUUCUCUUCCAUUUUCUUCUUUUCAAUUUCUUCUGUCACUUUCUUUUGUACUCUCUCUUCCAAUUCUCUCUUGUCGUCUUCCUUUCUUUCUUUCUCUUUUCUUAUUCUCUCGUUUUCUUCCUCCUCUUCUCUUCUCUGUUGCUCUCUCCUUUUUUCCUUAUCUCUUCUCUCUUUUUCUUCCUCUUCUCUUCUUACUUGUUCUCUUCUCUCUCUUGCUUCCUCUAUUCUUUCUUGCUCUCUCUUUAAUCACUUUAUCCUAUAUUUGCUUGAUUCUUCCCAUUACCUCGUAAGUUUCUCUAAAAACUCACUUUCUCUACGAGAGAACCCACUUAAAUUUUGAAUGAACAACUUGCCUUCUCUAAUAAGCUCUCUCAUAAGUUCUAAGUUACUUUGAAUAUUUGGAGGCACAAACUUUCUUCUCAAACAAGCUUUCAAUUCUUUCCAAUUAUGAAUGGGGGAUUUUCUACCUAUCCUAACAUGAUAUGCUCUUUCAUCCCACCACUCUC